AGCUCCAAUAGCAUAUAUUAAAGUUGUUGCAGUUAAAAAGCUCGUAGUUGGAUAUCUGGAGUAGUUUAUAAGGCCUUCUGGGUCUUGUAAGCCACAUCCAUCCUUCUGUUAACACGUGUUGGUAUUCGUACUGGACGUGAGCUCAGAUAUUUUACCUUGAGAAAAUCAGAGUGUUUCAGGCAGGCAUGGCCGGAAUACAAAAGCAUGGAAUAAUAGAAUUUGACGCGAUUCUGUGGUUGGCCAGGGAAGUGUAAUGAUUAAUAGGAACAGUUGGGGGCAUUAGUAUUUAAUUGUCAGAGGUGAAAUUCUUGGAUUUGUUAAAGACUAACUAAAGCGAAAGCAUUUGCCAAGGAUGUUUUCA
rnacentral:rRNA from 1 species